AACGAACGCUGGCGGCAUGCCUAACACAUGCAAGUCGAACGAGACCUUCGGGUCUAGUGGCGCACGGGUGCGUAACGCGUGGGAACCUGCCCUUAGGUUCGGAAUAACUCCCCGAAAGGGGUGCUAAUACCGGAUAAUGUCUUCGGACCAAAGAUUUAUCGCCUCUGGAUGGGCCCGCGUUGGAUUAGCUAGUUGGUAGGGUAAAAGCCUACCAAGGCGACGAUCCAUAGCUGGUCUGAGAGGAUGAUCAGCCACACUGGGACUGAGACACGGCCCAGACUCCUACGGGAGGCAGCAGUGGGGAAUAUUGGACAAUGGGCGAAAGCCUGAUCCAGCAAUGCCGCGUGAGUGAUGAAGGCCUUAGGGUCGUAAAGCUCUUUUACCCGGGAUGAUAAUGACAGUACCGGGAGAAUAAGCGCCGGCUAACUCCGUG
rnacentral:rRNA from 1 species